UCCUUCUCAGGAUGACACCUGGAGAGUUUCCAUUAUCUACCAGUCUCAACUACGGGAGGGAGAGUCCAGCAGAGGCUUACCCAUUCCAUUCCUAGCUUGGCCAGUGGCUAGCGAGUGGAAGGCAAUCUGCUACCAGU
rnacentral:snoRNA from 2 species